rnacentral:rRNA from 1 species
AGAGUUUGAUCCUGGCUCAGGACGAACGCUGGCGGCGUACUUAACACAUGCAAGUCGAACGGAAAGGCCCUGCUUGCAGGGUACUCGAGUGGCGAACGGGUGAGUAACACGUGGGUGAUCUGCCCUGCACUUCGGGAUAAGCUUGGGAAACUGGGUCUAAUACCGGAUAGGACCGCACUUUAGUGUGUGUGGUGGAAAGUUUUUUCGGUGUAGGAUGAGCUCGCGGCCUAUCAGCUUGUUGGUGGGGUAAUGGCCUACCAAGGCGGCGACGGGUAGCCGGCCUGAGAGGGUGUACGGCCACAUUGGGACUGAGAUACGGCCCAGACUCCUACGGGAGGCAGCAGAAGGG